rnacentral:rRNA from 1 species
GACGAACGCUGGCGGCGUGCCUAACACAUGCAAGUCGAACGGAACUGUUUUGAAAGAUUUUUUCGGGAUGAAUGUGAUUUAGUUUAGUGGCGGACGGGGGAUUAAGCCUUGAUUAACCUGCCUUUAAGGGGGGAAUAACAUUCUGAAAAGAAUGCUAUUACCGCAUGACAUAUCGUAACGACUGGGUCUUGGUGUCAAAGAUUGUAUCGCUUGAAGAUGGACUCGCGUCCGUUUAGUGAGUUGGUGAGGUAACGGCUCACCAAGACCGCGAUCGGUAGCCGGACUGAGAGGGGGGACGGCCAAAUUGGGAAUGAGGCACGGCCCAGACCUCUAAGGGAGGCAGCAGUGGGGGAUAAUGCGAAAUGGGGGCAAACCUGGAGCAGCAAAGGCGCGGGAAAGAUGAAGGUUUCCGGAUAGGAAAAUUCUUAUCAUAAGGAAAGAAAAUGACGGUACUUAACGAAUAAGCCCCGGCUAACUACGUG